CCACGGGGCAUGCUCGUACGGCGAGUGAGCGGCAAGAGCUCAAAUUUGAAAGCUGGCUCCUUCGGGGUCCGCAUUGUAAUUUGCAGAGGAUGCUUCGGGUGCGGCCCCUGUCUAAGUACCCUGGAACGGGUCGUCAGAGAGGGUGAGAAUCCCGUCUGGGAUAGGGUGUCCGCGCCCGUGUGAAGCUCCUUCGACGAGUCGAGUUGUUUGGGAAUGCAGCUCUAAAUGGGUGGUAAAUUUCAUCUAAAGCUAAAUACUGGCCGGAGACCGAUAGCGCACAAGUAGAGUGAUCGAAAGAUGAAAAGCACUUUGAAAAGAGAGUUAAAAAGCACGUGAAAUUGUUGAAAGGGAAGCGCUUGCGACCAGACUCGCCCCCGGGGUUCAGCCGGCAUUCGUGCCGGUGUACUUCCCCGGGGGCGGGCCAGCGUCGGUUUGGGCGGCCGGUCAAAGGCCCCUGGAAUGUAGUACCCUCCGGGGUACCUUAUAGCCAGGGGUGCAAUGCGGCCAGCCUGGACCGAGGAACGCGCUUCGGCACGGACGCUGGCAUAAUGGUCGCAAACGACCCGUCUUGAACCACGGAC
rnacentral:rRNA from 1 species